GAUGAAGAACGUAGCGAAAUGCGAUACGUAAUGUGAAUUGCAGAAUUCAGUGAAUCAUCGAGUCUUUGAACGCACAUUGCGCCCCCUGGUAUUCCGGGGGGCAUGCUUGUCCGAGCGUCAUUGCUGCCCUCAAGCACGGCUUGUGUGUUGGGCCUCCGUCCUCCUCCCGGGGGACGGGCCCGAAAGGCAGCGGCGGCACCGCGUCCGGUCCUCGAGCGUAUGGGGCUUCGUCACCCGCUCUUGUAGGCCCGGCCGGCGCUUGCCGACACAUCAAUCUUUUUUCCAGGUUGACCUCGGAUCAGGUAGGGAUACCCGCUGAACUUAAGCAUAUCAAUAAGCGGAGGA
rnacentral:misc_RNA from 1 species